rnacentral:rRNA from 1 species
AUUGAACGCUGGCGGCAGGCUUAACACAUGCAAGUCGAGCGGGGGAAGGUAGCUUGCUACUGGACCUAGCGGCGGACGGGUGAGUAAUGCUUAGGAAUCUGCCUAUUAGUGGGGGACAACAUCUCGAAAGGGAUGCUAAUACCGCAUACGUCCUACGGGAGAAAGCAGGGGAUCUUCGGACCUUGCGCUAAUAGAUGAGCCUAAGUCGGAUUAGCUAGUUGGUGGGGUGAAGGCCUACCAAGGCGACGAUCUGUAGCGGGUCUGAGAGGAUGAUCCGCCACACUGGGACUGAGACACGGCCCAGACUCCUACGGGAGGCAGCAGUGGGGAAUAUUGGACAAUGGGGGGAACCCUGAUCCAGCCAUGCCGCGUGUGUGAAGAAGGCCUUAUGGUUGUAAAGCACUUUAAGCGAGGAGGAGGCUACUCUAGUUAAUACCUAGGGAUAGUGGACGUUACUCGCAGAAUAAGCACCGGCUAACUCUGUGCCAGCAGCCGCCGCAG